CCUACGGGUGACAGCAGUGGGGAAUAUUGCACAAUGGGGGAAACCCUGAUGCAGCAACGCCGCGUGAGUGAGGAAGUAUUUCGGUAUGUAAAGCUCUAUUAGCAGGGAAUAGAACAGAAGGUACCUGAAAAAUAAGCCCCGGCUAACUACGUGCCAGAAGCCGCGGUAAUACGUAGGGGGCAAGCGUUAUCCGGAUUUACUGGGUGUAAAGGGAGCGUAGGCGGAAAGGCAAGUCAGAAGUGAAAACCCAAGGCUCAACCAUGGGACUGCUUUUGAAAUUGUCAAACUAGAGUGCGGGUGAGGUAAGAGGAAUUCCUAGUGUAGCGGUGAAAUGCGUAGAGAUUAGACGGAACACCAGUGGCGAAGGCGGCUUACU
rnacentral:rRNA from 1 species